rnacentral:rRNA from 1 species
UGACGGUACCUGACUAAGAAGCUCCGGCUAAAUACGUGCCAGCAGCCGCGGUAAUACGUAGGGGGCAAGCGUUAUCCGGAUUUACUGGGUGUAAAGGGAGCGUAGACGGAAGUGCAAGUCUGAUGUGAAAGGCAUGGGCUCAACCCGUGGACUGCAUUGGAAACUGUAUUUCUUGAGUGCCGGAGGGGUAAGCGGAAUUCCUGGUGUAGCGGUGAAAUGCGUAGAUAUCAGGAGGAACACCGGUGGCGAAGGCGGCUUACUGGACGGCAACUGACGUUGAGGCUCGAAGGCGUGGGGAGCAAACAGGAUUAGAUACCCUG